CUCUGUCCAGUCAGUGUUUGUGAGUUGAUUAUGGCGAUUUUUCUUCCCUGCAUCACUUAAUUUACAUACUGUUUCGCCCCUUUUGCUCCCAGACAUACCUCUGUCACAUUUCAAGACUUGAAGUUUGUUUUUGUUGUUGUUUUUUGUCUUCUUUGUACGGGCAGUCGUUUGACAUUCCUGCAGUAUUUGGUUCCCAGAAAGCAAGAGUGACGGAAUUUGACAAGACACCAGGUGUUUCGUGCUCCCUGUUGUUAGCUGAAGCUUAUGGGAGGUUUUGUCUUCUGGAAACCAACUUUAUUCCCUCGCUGUCCACCAUGAACCUUUGUUCCUUGAUGCUCCAGCUGAGGCCAUCGGUGUGUGUUCACUUCCUCUGCAUCCUGCUGCUCCUCUCCAGCAUCUACCUCACAGCGCUACCUGCGUCUGAGUCAGGUAAUGAAACAACAAGCAAGAUUGCAACAACUAAAGGCUUCUCAAAGUCCAGUGCUGCAGUAGAUACUGAGGAAAAAAGCAAUAAAAGUAAUACAUUGACUAAAAUCCUCUUCAAUAAAACAUCCUUAGACCAAUCUCAGCAGUUGUCAUCCACCUCCUUACCCACAACUGUUGUAAGUGCUCAGUCUGUAAGUAAUAGUUCAGCUAAGAACCCCCUUCCAUCACCACCUGGAGAGCAUGUUGAGACUUCUCAAACUGUUUUACAAUCAACUAAAACAACUUCUGAAGCUCCAGCAACACCUCUGUCCACCAAAACACU